UUUGAUCCUGGCUCAGGACGAACGCUGGCGGCGUGCUUAACACAUGCAAGUCGAACGAUGAAGCCUUUCGGGGUGGAUUAGUGGCGAACGGGUGAGUAACACGUGGGCAAUUUGCCCUUCACUUUGGGACAAGCCCUGGAAACGGGGUCUAAUACCGGAUAACACUCUGUCCCGCAUGGGACGGGGUUAAAAGCUCCGGCGGUGAAGGAUGAGCCCGCGGCCUAUCAGCUUGUUGGUGGGGUAAUGGCCUACCAAGGCGACGACGGGUAGCCGGCCUGAGAGGGCGACCGGCCACACUGGGACUGAGACACGGCCCAGACUCCUACGGGAGGCAGCAGUGGGGAAUAUUGCACAAUGGGCGAAAGCCUGAUGCAGCGACGCCGCGUGAGGGAUGACGGCCUUCGGGUUGUAAACCUCUUCAGCAGGGAAGAAGCGAAAG
rnacentral:rRNA from 1 species